CAUUAUAGCUAGACAUGGCUAUAUAUACAUGACAAAUGUAUAUUAGUUAUUUAAAAAGUGACAAAUGCCUGCUUCCUGUUCUUGGGAUCUGAUGUCAGAACUUUAAUGCACUCUGGAGACUAAAGGCAUCACACCUGUACUCACGUAUUUUCUGUCACCUGUAAAUUAUAACAGUAGUGCUGGCAUCCACUACGUGGACAGGGUGUGUGCAUUGGCUUUGUGGCAGUCCACUAAUCUGUAGGCUAAGAUGCAAAUCAAUUGAUCACAGUCAUUUCUACUCUGUCUCUGGAAUUGGCUCCGAUUUAGAAACAUCUUGUCUAGUGAAGCAACCAGGAGCAGGGUGGGCAGAUAGAUGGAAGGAAGUCAGCCCUGAGUGCUCACUGGAAGGACAGAUCGUGAAGCUGAGGCUCCAAUACUUUGGCCACCUCAUGAGAAGAGAAGACUCCCUGGAAAGGACCCUGAUGCUGGGAAAGAUGGAGGGCACAAGGAGAAGGGGACGACAGAGGACGAGAUGGUUGGACAGUGUUCUCGAAGCUACCAGCAUGAGUUUGACCAAACUGUGGGAGGCAGUGAAAGACAGGAGUGCCUGGCAUGCUCUGGUCCAUGGGGUCACGAAGAGUCGGACACGACUAAACAACAACAGUCUACUGUGGAGGGACUCAUUUGCCUACAAAUUUCAUACACUUGUGCUAAAAGGAGAAAGAAGUUAAAGCUGUUUUUAGAUCCCCCACUAUAGGGAAUGGGGAUAAAACAGAGCUUCAGAUUUAACAGAUCAGAUUUGGACCUCAAUAAAAAGUUACAAUGAAAUGACAAAGAACAGAUCUGAAACAGAUUAGGCUGCUUCCAAACGCCAGAGAUAAAAAUACAAGGUGAGUCUUGUGGCUGCUACAGACCCAUAGCGCUCGCUCUCUCUCUCUCUCUCUCUCUCUCUCUCUCUCUCUCUCUCUCUCUGGGAUUUUGUUCUCUUGGUGCUUGUCCCUCUCUCCUACACCCUGUCAGAUAAUAUACGGUACUCUGUUGGCUGCACACCCUGCCUCCCCCUCUUCCCCUUGGUCUGUUGUUUUUUCUGUUGUUGCACCCCUUCUCAUUGCUUCCAUUCAACCCUGCAAGAUCUGGAAAUGAGGUUGCGCAGAAAUUCUCAGACCCAAUCUAUUUAUUUACAUAUGUAUUUUCCCCAUCCUUCAACUAUAAAAGAUUUCCUACAGCAGCUAACAAUUAAAGCCAUCAAUGUAAAACCACAUUCACCUCCCUAAAACAAUUCACCAACAGAACAUUAUAUACCUGGUACCAAAAAGAUAACAGAGUGGGUGGCUGAUGAGCCUCUCUGGGGAAGGAAUUCCAACAAAGGGCCACUGCUACCAAAAUAAUCCCAAACCAGGGUCACCACUUACCUAGAGAUGGGCCUCAAAAGGGUCCAGGCAGGUUCAUGUGCAAAGAAGUCAAACAGGAGGUUCCCUGGUCCUAAGCCUUGAUUCCUCCACCUGCCACAUGAUAAUGGGCUUGCAGACCAGGCAGGGGUCCCCCAGGCUUCCAGACCUGGAUAGAUUGUCCCUUUACAUCCACACAUGCUUGGGCCCUAUCCCAUGAUAAAGUAAAUAUAAUUUUCUGGGAGGCAGUUAUAAAAAUAAACUGCAUCAAACCAUUGUUUUACUUUUUGAUCAUUUCUGAACAUACGAGCCAACGUUCUUAAUCAGUCGCCACUCAGAAAUAAAUAUCUUAUUUCUAUGACUUUUUAAAUCUCAUUAUAUAUGUGGAUCAUGUUGGUCACACUCUUCCCAAAUGGUCAGGAGUAAAUGCAUACUUUAAAAAUGCAGUUUGUUUUCAAACUGUAUCCUACAUAUUAACACUAUCAAAAAAUACUAACAGGAUUCCCAUAAGUUAUAACCUGACACUAACAGGCCAAUCUUAUACAUGCUUACUCAGGAGUACAAAGGAGGAGAAACUUGGUAGGUUCAGAUUGUGAAGAAUACACAAUCCGAAGCACAGCUAUCCUUCUAAAUUUGCACUCAUCUGAAUUUUGUGUUGAAGUUUUCCAACCAAACAAUGAGUGCAAAAAUACAUAAAUUGCGGGAAAGCAUGCACAUAAUGCAUGUAUUAGUGGGGGGGGGGUCGGCUUGCAAAAGUGUGCAUAUCAGGCAAAAUUGCAUACAAAAUGUGUAUAUUAGGAGAAACGCACACUUAAGUGCUAAUGAACUUUCAUGAGGAUUUUAAAAACAAAUUGCAAACUGAUGAAGAAAUGUGCAGAAGUCAAUUUAAGACUGGGGAAAAAAUAGAAAUUGCGAGACACUAAAAUUGACAGAUGUAUUGAUCUGCUUCCAGACUGUUGCUAUUUUUGGUUAGAAUUUAAUCACAAACCUGCUUCUUCAAAAUAUGAAAUUUUUUUAUGAUUAGGAAAGUAGCAGGAAAAGUGUGGUAUAACACUUGGUGUGAUGCAGUGUCUCUUAACCUCCCCACAAACAAAUUGGAAAGAAGGCUCAGUAAUAAACAUGUCAUCUGCAAGUACCCUAAGUCUAAUUGAGCGCAAUGGAGCUUACUCCCAACUAGGUUACUGGGUGUAGGAUUGCAAUAUAAGGCAGCCCCAUAAGGUAGUCCAACUUGACUAAGUUGUUUUGCCUUCUGCAAAUUUUAAAUUUUAGCUCUGCAAUUUCAGUCUAAGCACUGGGCAAACUUAGAGACAUUUGAAGGAAACCACUGUUGUAAAUUAGUUUUGACUUUUCCCCUCUCCUGGAAUAAGCAGCAAUCAUAUAUGUCAUAUUAAAGGAUGAAGAGAAAAGCCAGGUAUGACUGCAGAAAAUAAUGAAACUGUAAAAGUAAUCAAAUGAUGAAUCAUAUGAAAAAGGGAUCAAAGGACUUCAAUACCACACUUGUAUCAGUAUAACUGACAUGAAGAGAUCUCUGCAACCACAACUCUAUUGAUUAAACAAUCUAUUGGUAGUCAGCUAAUUAAAAUACUUUGCAAUAGGUUUCGCGGCUGUUCAUGCAGUGAAAAGUAUAAUAGUUCAAUAAAUCAAGUGGAUUACAAAUACAGCAGCCUCCCAGCUACCCCCCCCAUGCAAUACAGUUCUUAAUGGAACAAAACCUUGUAUUUCUACCUUUAAAUGUUUUCGGAUGAACUUAUUGGCUAAAACGCUUAAAGGCAUCAUUCAAGCAAAGUGGAUGUUUUGUAAAAGGUAUGGAUACGUGCCUCUUCUGAGCUCACAAGCCAAGGGAAAUCUGACCUUCCUUGUUGGUUUAUUUUAGCCUUCAGAAAACAUAUAGUGGUAUCUUGGUCUCUUAAUUGCGAACUUGCUGCAGCUCUCAGGUGUCAAGGGAAGGAGGAAAAAAGCCACAAACAACCUUCCAGUGUCCCCAGAGAGAGCAGUUGACAUAAGCCAGCUCCCUAAGGAGAUGUAGCAGUUUUUGUCUGCUUAAGACAAAGGCAGCAGUUAAAAAGUAUGGCUUAAAAUAGGUCAUACAAGCCACACAGAAUUGAACAAACAAGUAGAAGCCAAGGCUUCACACCCACACACCAUAUAUUUAAAGCACAGGGCUUCCCCCACAGAUUCCUGAGGUCUGUGGUUUACCCCUCGCAGUGUUAUGGUUCCUGGCACACUUGACAAUGGUUCCCGGGAUUCUUUUGGGGAAGUGUAUGGUCUGCACACAGCCUUACAGGGGAUACAUCAUCAAAGAACGGCACAGCUGCCCAUCUCCAAUAUUGAAAAUAAACACAAUGCUUUUCUACCCAACUUCAGGUGUUAUGCUCAAGUUUUUAUUCAACAUGUGGGAGUCAGUGAUGACAAGUGUGCCGGCUCUGCCGCCAUCACCAUUCCUGAGAUCUUCCAACUUAUAGAAGAAGAAGAAGGUCUUUAGUGGAGAACCUUUUAUAUCCAUGAUGGUUCACCACAGCUUUUAGAACCUUCUGGAACACACAGGGAGCUGCCACAGAUACAAAAGACUCCUUUGCUGCAGAACUUUGUCUUCCUGUGUUGAACCAAAGGCGAACUGUUGCGGGAGCUUUGCUAAUGCCAUCUUGAUAGUCAAGAUAACCUCAGAAUUAAUUGAUAAUUGUUGUAGUAAUGAGCU